AACGAACGCUGGCGGCAUGCCUAACACAUGCAAGUCGAACGAGACCUUCGGGUCUAGUGGCGCACGGGUGCGUAACGCGUGGGAACCUGCCCUUAGGUUCGGAAUAACUCCCCGAAAGGGGUGCUAAUACCGGAUAAUGUCUUCGGACCAAAGAUUUAUCGCCUUUGGAUGGGCCCGCGUUGGAUUAGCUAGUUGGUAGGGUAAAAGCCUACCAAGGCGACGAUCCAUAGCUGGUCUGAGAGGAUGAUCAGCCACACUGGGACUGAGACACGGCCCAGACUCCUACGGGAGGCAGCAGUGGGGAAUAUUGGACAAUGGGCGAAAGCCUGAUCCAGCAAUGCCGCGUGAGUGAUGAAGGCAUUAGGGUUGUAAAGCUCUUUUACCCGGGAUGAUAAUGACAGUACCGGGAGAAUAAGCGCCGGCUAACUCCGUG
rnacentral:rRNA from 1 species